rnacentral:rRNA from 1 species
UACAGAGGUCUCGAGCGUUAGGCGGAAUCACUGGGCUUAAAGCGUGUGUAGGCGGAUUGCUAAGUCUCUUGUGAAAUCCCACGGCUUAACCGUGGAACUGCUUGGUAUACUGGCUGUCUUGAGCCACUUAGGGGCGACCGGAACAAACGGUGGAGCGGUGAAAUGCGUAGAUAUCGUGUGGAACGCCAGAGGUGAAAGCAGGUCGCUGGGAGUGUGCUGACGCUGAGACACGAAAGCCAGGGGAGCAAACGGG